UACGGGGGGAGCAAGCGUUGUUCGGAUUUACUGGGCGUAAAGGGCGCGUAGGCGGCGCAACAAGUCACUUGUGAAAUCUCCGGGCUUAACCCGGAGCGGCCAAGUGAUACUGUCGUGCUAGAGUGCGGAAGGGGCUACUGGAAUUCUCGGUGUAGCGGUGAAAUGCGUAGAUAUCGAGAGGAACACCUGCGGCGAAGGCGGUUCUCUGGGCAUUACCUGACGCUGAGGAGCGAAAGUGUGGGGAGCGAACAGG
rnacentral:rRNA from 1 species